rnacentral:lncRNA from 1 species
AAAUGGGUAUUUGAGAUCUGGUGGGGGAUUGUUAGAUAUAUGGGCUUGGCCCAUAUAAAUAAUUCUGAAUAAAUCUCAAAGGCCCAUUAGCGUAGGAGGGGGUGCACCAUCUAUUAGUCCCGUAUUGUUAAUAGAUGAGGGUGCAGGGGUUUUCCUCCCUAUAAAUACAGACCACCCCCCCUCAUGGAAAAGACGCAACAUAGACUACUAUACGGGAAGGCCCCUAAGUUUGGGUAUCCCUAAGGUGGUCUAUACGAUUUAGGUUUUUC